GCGUGGGAAGACUCCAGAAUCCACUCUGGCUGGAAUCCGGUGGAUACAGCAGUGUUACAGGUGUGGGGAUAAUAUGUAAGACUGCAGUGAAGCGAUGUACCAGAUGAAUCCCUGGCCAAAGAACAGUUCUCCACAGUCACUGUCCACAUGGGUCAGUGGGACCAAGAAGCACUCUGCUAAUGUGUGGACUCUGACCAGCAACAUCCAGCAAGACCCAAGCAGCGUUUUCUAUCGCUCAGCUGGAGUUUUUUGUUUGUCUGUGACUGGAGAGUCAGAUUUUUGUUGAAGCUGGAGGAACAGAGAGGUUAAUACACGCUACUGAUCCCUGAUGGGAGAAUCAUCACCUCUGCCAACAAAGAAGCCUGGUGGAUGUUUGUUUGCAGUCUGAUGAUGGGACAUCAUGCUCUGCAUCUUCAAAGUUUGUCUCUUGAUUAUUAUUCAUACACAGUAAUGUGAAGCAUGCUUAUAUCUAGUAUAACUGGACCAACCUGGUGCUCUUCAUUUAUGGAGGCUGUUGAGUCUGAAUGUUGGAUGUUGUGUAUCUCUUGUUCUCUGGGCUUUGUUGU